rnacentral:piRNA from 2 species
UCUAUAACCUUAGCUAGAGUGUCGCC